AUAUCUUUCCUUUAAAUUGUUCCACAAUAUGAGGGGAUCUUUGAUCGUAAGGUACUUCAUUUUUAACCCUUCGUCAAGAUGAUGACGAAGAAAUAUCAUGGCCUUGGCCUUAUCUUGUUCAGAUGCCUUAUUAUCCUUUUUAAUGGUGUCAGACCUAUUGCAUUUAGAUGUAUUUCUGCGUCUAGUGCCCAGAACAUAUAAGUUUU
rnacentral:lncRNA from 1 species